GGAACUUAACAAAUCCAAAAUGAUUUCAUGAGGAUCCUAAUUUGUUUCAGCAAGUUAUGUAACGGCCAAUAGUAUGAAUUGAAAGAGUUUCUUGUUGUCUUAAUUUAAAAAAUUUUGUUAUUUAUCUUCAAAGGGGAAAUUUUACCCUCUCAUGAUAAUAGAAUCAUGAAUCAAAAAUGAUAUCCUCUUCUCCCCAAUUGUGAUCUCUAUCCCUGAGCCUAAGUUUUACAUCAGUAUUUCAGUUUUGUCUUUAGAAGUUACUCAACGAUCACUGGACCCUAUAUCUAUCCACAUGGCUUACUCUUGGAGAGACUACAAGAUAGCUCAGGGGAAAAGUCAUUUUGAGAUUAAAACUACAUGGAAUUGUUCUUUAUGGAUUAUCAUGGUUAAUUUCAAUUUUUAAAAAUAUGCAGGAAAAAAAGGAAAGACAUUGUGUUCGUAUCUUCUCUGCAACAAUUAUAAAAUGAAUGAGGAAGUAUUUUGGUGUUUCUAAGGUCUUUCCAUGAUCUUGAAAUCUAUAUAUUAUAGUCAUUUAGUCUGUGAACCAUUUUAACAAUUGGGUUUCAUGUUACAUAUCUUUAAAUUUUUAUGUUGAAAAUUUAUAGCUGUGACACAAGAUGAUAGAAAUUGCUCAUGCUCACAUAUAUUCCAACUGGCUUU
rnacentral:lncRNA from 1 species